UACAGAGGGGGCAAGCGUUGUUCGGAAUUACUGGGCGUAAAGGGCGCGUAGGCGGCCUUCUAAGUCGAACGUGAAAUCCCUGGGCUCAACCCAGGAACUGCGUCCGAGACUGAAAGGCUUGAAUCCGGGAGAGGGAUGUGGAAUUCCAGGUGUAGCGGUGAAAUGCGUAGAUAUCUGCAGGAACACCCGUGGCGAAAGCGGCGCGCUGGACCACUACUGACGCUGAGGAACGAAAGCUAGGGGAGCAAACAGG
rnacentral:rRNA from 1 species